rnacentral:rRNA from 1 species
AGUAGUAAAACCUUAUAUUAAAACUUAUAUAUUUUGGCGGCAUUUCAUCUAUUUAGAGGAACCUGUCUCUUAAUCGAUACCCCACGUUAAAUUUCACUUCUUUAUCAAAACUUACAUACCGUCAUCUUCAAAUAAAUUCAAAAAUACAAUUUACAAUAUUACUCUAAAAAGAUAGAUCAAGGCGUAGUCCACAAAAAAGAUGAGAUGUGUUACUUUAAAAACAAUUUAAAGACUAAAAAUCAAAAAUCUCAAGACAAAAAGGAUUUAAAAGUAAUUUCUAAAUAUUAAUUAGCCUG